GAUGAACGCUGGCGGCGUGCCUAAUACAUGCAAGUCGAGCGAACAGAUAAGGAGCUUGCUCCUUUGACGUUAGCGGCGGACGGGUGAGUAACACGUGGGUAACCUACCUAUAAGACUGGGAUAACUUCGGGAAACCGGAGCUAAUACCGGAUAAUAUUUCGAACCGCAUGGUUCGAUAGUGAAAGAUGGCUUUGCUAUCACUUAUAGAUGGACCCGCGCCGUAUUAGCUAGUUGGUAAGGUAACGGCUUACCAAGGCGACGAUACGUAGCCGACCUGAGAGGGUGAUCGGCCACACUGGAACUGAGACACGGUCCAGACUCCUACGGGAGGCAGCAGUAGGGAAUCUUCCGCAAUGGGCGAAAGCCUGACGGAGCAACGCCGCGUGAGUGAUGAAGGUCUUCGGAUCGUAAAACUCUGUUAUUAGGGAAGAACAUACGUGUAAGUAACUGUGCACGUCUUGACGGUACCUAAUCAGAAAACCACGGCUAACUACGU
rnacentral:rRNA from 1 species